AAGCAACUAAAAUUCAACAAGCGUCAACUGUUGAGGCUUUAAACCUCCUUGAUAGAUCCCUCGACUCCCUGGAGGAAAAACAGAAGCUGAUUAAUGCCUUGUCCAGGGUGGGAGGAGUCCACUUGAAAGACAAUGUUAAAAGGGUCAUGGAGAAAGAGUGUCCAGAGGACGACUGCAGAAACGGAGGCAAGCAUUGCAGCGGCUGUCGCCUUCUGUUUGAAAUAUGCCCCAGACAGGGUGGGCGGAGGUGGAAGAAAAAAUAAUGUUUCUGAAGUUUAAUUUUUUUUUUAGUUCAUAAGUGGGGUCUGAGUUCCGGACAGUUUGUUGAGUUUUGUUAAAAAAUUAGUUUUCUUUCAUUUUUCAAACAUUAUACCUGCUAAACACCUGCAUGUUAGCAUUGAACUUGUGAGCAUGUUUCCAUAUUAGCAUUAAGCUCAAAAUACCCAAGUGCCCCCUAAGUAGACUACAGCUUCAAGGAGCAUUUUCAUUCUGUUUGCCACCAUAAGUAGC